GCCGGGAUAGCUCAGUCGGUAGAGCAACUGAUUCGUAAUCAGUAGGUCGGAGGUUCGAUUCCUCUUCCCGGCACCA
rnacentral:tRNA from 1 species